rnacentral:rRNA from 1 species
CCCUUAGAUGUUCUGGGCUGCACGCGCGCUACACUGAUGCGAUCAACAAGUUUUUCCUAUGUCGAUAGACACGGGUAAUCUUUUGAACUCGCAUCGUGAUGGGGAUAGAUUAUUGUAAUUAUUAAUCUUCAACGAGGAAUUCCUAGUAGGUGCAAAUCAUCAGUUUGCAUCGAUUACGUCCCUGCCCUUUGUACACACCGCCCGUCGCUGCUACCGAUUGGUUGAUCUGGUGAAUUAUUCGGACUGCCGACUGAAGGGGUUUCCUCAUCUGCCAGCGGAAAGUCUUGUUAACCCUAUCAACUAGAGGAAGCAGAAGUCGUAACA